GCCAGGGAAAGCUCAGCACUGGAGCUCUGGAUAUCCAUCCUGCACAGUGUGGCUUCAAGGAAUGGGGCACUGGAUGGGGAGGAGAGACUAGGCAGAAAGGUCUGCACUCUGCAUUCAAAGGCAUCCACUGCCACUCCACUCCUACUUUCUCCCACAAUGACAUGGCCAGUCAGGUAAGUCACUCUUAUUCUCUUAGGAAUUUUUGCAUUUUUCCCUUCUUCCCACCCCAGCGCCUGCCUCUCAAUCCUGUCUGACCCCACCGCCUCCUGACAGCCCCAGAUUUCUCUGGGUCACCUGAGCAACAGCAAUCCAGUCAAGCAAUGUGCAGGACUGCCCCCCACCCCCAUUCAGUCCAGGUCUCAGGCAUUGGCUGCAUCCGGUACACAGACCAACUGCUUUUGCAAUCUCUUGCACAGCAACAUUUCACUAGCUCAAUAUGUUUCACUAGCGGAGCAAGCACACUGCAAGGUGGCUAACUUAGCUCUGCAAUUGAUACCACCUCUUCUCUGCCUGGAGAGGGCAUUGCUGAAGCCUGAGCACACCGUUUCAGACAGCUCACUUGGCUCAGUGCCAACAACAGGCCAUGAGAUUCAAGCCCUACAGACCCUAGUACAUUGCCAGGUUCAAAACCUGGUCUGUAACACUGUGUUUAUUGCCCCAGCUUUCAUAAAGGGCUAUUCAAACAUAUGCUGACUUGUCAUCCAUGUGAUUUCAGUGAUGCAACUGGCUCAUACUUGCUCCUGCAAAAACCAGAGUGGCCUCUUGAAGCUAUCUGCUGCCCAGCUAGCUGUGCUGCAUAACAGUUCUUCAGCCCUUCAGAAUGUAUCACAUUUGUGAAAUGUGAUUCUAGGCUACUAUAGAAUCAUAGAGUUGGAAGGAAACCUGAGGUCCUGUUUUAGGGUGCAGGUGGAAUUCAAGGAUUGGGGCAUCUUGACCUAAACUAUAUUGUACCUUAAGGAUGCAAGAGGACCUGUCAGGGUGCAGUCACACUGAUAAACCCUGGCAGAUGUGUUCUACCCCCCCUCCACCAGAGGAAGUGAUGCUUCUUGGGUACCAGUUGCAGUCAGGAUGGGCUUCCUAUAUGCAUCAGGUUGGCCAUUGUGAGAACGGGAUGCCUUUGAGCUGAUCCAUCAGGGCUAUUCUUCAAUUCUUACAUUUUUUGAAACAUAUCUCCUCUCCACCACAGCCCUUGUUUUAGAAAGCAGGCAAUCAUCUGGCAACAGGAUGUGACAAGGCUGAAGCUGGCUGAUAAUUCACACUGUUGCCAUCUUCCAUAUACACCCUGCAAACAUCUGCUACCUUCCACCAGGUCCACAGCCCUGCAAUCACCAGCUUUGAUACAUCUCCCUUUCAAGUAGUGCCCAUUCCAUCUUUUUAUCCCAAGAUCAUACAGUCAUAGGAUUCUAGAGUUGGAAGGGACCCUGAGGAUCUCUAGUCCAACCCCACACAAUGCAGGAAUAUGCAGCUGCCCCACAUGAGGACCGAAACCACAUCCUUGGCAUCAUCAGCACCACACUCUAACCAACUGAGCUAUCCAAGAUGCUUGUUUCUGAGGCCAAUGCCUGGUCUGAAUUUACAUUCUAAGUCCCACCCCCCCACCCCCGAACAUGGAGACCAUGUUUAAGUUGGCCAUGAAAAGUCAUGCAAUGAAAAUGAUCUGGGGGCUGGUGCAGCAACUCCCCUAAAGGGGGCAUUUCAGCUUAGAAAAAAAGGUGAGAAAGGAUAGAGGUGCAUAAAAUUAGGCAUGGUGGGGGAACAGACAAACUCUCCCCAUCAUAUUUUUAUUAUUUAAUUCUUAAAUUUAUUAGCUGCCCAUCACCCUAAGGUCCCAGGGUGGGACAUUACAACACAAUAUUUAAAACAGUUUAAAACCACUUACAAUUACAAAAAUAUGGUGGGUCCUAAAAAUAUACACUUCAAGUGUUAAAAGCCAGGGCAAAGAGGUACUAGGACCUCAUGGGAUCAUCCAAGAAAGCAGAAUAUUGGAAGACUUGGGACAGGCAAAAGCAAGUGCUUCUUCACAUAGUUAAACUAUGAUAUUUGUUCCCAUGUGAUGUAGUGAUUGCCAUUGAUUUGGAUGACUUUGAAAUAGGUUUGGACCAAUUUGUGGGAGAUGAGGCUGCAAAUAGUUACUAGUUAUGAUGGCUAUGUUCUGCCUCCACUGUCACGGACAGUACACCUCUGAAUACAAGUUGCUUGGGAUCAAAAGUGGAAAAAGUCUUGUUGAGCUCAAGUCUUGCUCCCGGGCUUCCCAGAAGAGGCACCUGAUUGGCCACCGUGAAAACAGAAUUUUGGACUAGAUGUGCCUUUUGUCUGAUCUGACAGGGAUCUUCAAUUGUUCUUAGAUAUUCAAAGCAGGAGGGUACAGUGGUACCUCAGUUUACAAACUUAAUCUGUUCCAGAAGUCCGUUCUUAAACCAAAGUGUUCUUAAACCAAGGCACGCUUUCCCAUAGAAAGUAAUGGAAAAUUGAUUAAUCCGUUCCAGACAAACCCCUAAAACAGCAAUUUAACAUGAAUUUUACUAUCUAACGAGACCAUUGAUCCAUAAAAUGAAGGCAAUAAUCAAUGUACUGUACUGUAAAAUAAAUAAGACAGUAUUGUAAGAUGAUAAAAAAAAAAUUCCCUUACGUGCACUGAUGAUAGUCAUUGUUUGGGUGGAGGGCAUUUAUCCAUUUCUGCAGUCACACAAUCAACCAGUAGCUGAACUGGGUUCCACACAGUCACAAAAACAAGUCACAAAAACCAAGUAACAAGCCACAGUCACAAGUCAGUCCCAUAAAAUGAAGAACAAGUCACAGUCAAAAAAAUGAAAAAGCCAUGCAAACAAAAACGCAAAUAAUAGCAAAAACAAAAGCUCCAAAUGUCACCUCUGUGUUGUGUGGGUGGUUGGGACUCAACAGCCAACAGACUCAACAGGAAGCCUCUAAUUAGCAGCGGGGGACUCAAUUUACAAACAGAACACACUCAACAGGAAGUGGAACAUGUUCUGCUUCCAAGGCAAAGUUCACAAACCAAAACACCUACUUCCGGGUUUGCAGCAUUCUUUAUCCAAGUUGUUCAUAAACUAAGCUGUUCUUAAACCAAGGUACCACUGUAUAUUCUUUGAGGGAUCUUGCAAAACCAGAUUGCAGGGUAUGUGGGACUCCUCUCUUCCUACCCUGUGGAAGCUCUGUAAGAUUUAUCUUCAUUCCCUCCACUUCUCUUCGUUUUCAGUCAUGCUGAGAAUACCUGAUAAUGAAGUUUGUGGGGUUUGAAUUUUAUUUGUUUAAUGACACCAAUAGUAUGAAUUUGCCUCCAGCACAACUUUGCUUCCUUCUGGUGGCUGUUCUCCUUUAUCGCUAACAAACUUGCACCUGAAAAGCUUCAGACCAUUCUGCCUACCCCCUCCCCAAAUCCAUGCUCUUAACCUGAAGUUAAUGUUUUAAUGCUUGAUGUUUUUAUAUUUGUUGGAAGCCACCUAGAGUGGCGGGGGCAACUCAGUCAGAUGGGUGGGGUACAAAUAAUAAAAUUUAAAAAUAAUUAUUAUUAAGAUCCUUCUUGCUUUGCUUGCUUCCGGGCUUGAUGCCCAAACCAACAAGAAAGAGCUGAUACCAGUGUUGAGUAAGGUUACCAGACGUUCCCGUUUCCCAGGGACAGUCCCCAGAUUUACAAACCAGUCCCCAUUGAAGCUGAAAAGUGUCCCCGGGUUCAUUGAAAAAGAUCUGGUAACAUAAGUGUUGAGGGCAGCUGAAAAGAAAGUGGAAAGCCUUCACCACCAUGUCCUCUUUUUGUUGCCUUAUUGCAACAAGGGAACAAAUCUUCUGCCCUGGGAUCUAGUUCAGGAUCUUUUCAGUUGCCUUCAAUAUAUGAGGAACUGUCAGGAGAGGCUCAGCUGAUUUCCCACCCUCAUGCACUCCUGGCAGCACUAAACUGAACUCUUCUUGGAACAUUAAGCUCCAGGCUUUUUCAAUCACCUGCUCUGCAGGCUGUUCAACCAGUAACGGCCAGUACCCUUCUCUCUGCUCUCCAGUGGCCACACCAGAGAGAGAGGAGCUGCUGCUGCUUCCCUGGUGUCCAGACUGGGCUCCCACAGAGCAGAGAUACAGCCACAGAUUCCCAGCUGCAAAACUGAGCUGGCAAAAUCAGGUAGGAGGGUGUCCUUUAAAAAAGAGAGAGAAUGGGAGGGAGGGAGGGAGGGGGGUUGUGCAGUUUUGUUAUGCCAACUAGCUGGUGGCUUAAAGCGUUUCUCUUUCUCAUCUAAUUUUUCCACCGAGGGAAUCGCAAGGCUGCCUGCCUUUUUCUUAAUGUGCAACGCCUGUCACCGUGGUAAUGCUUUCUUAGUUACAGACUCUCCCUCUUCCCCCUCCCCCUCCCUCUGUUAUAAUUUUAAUUCAGGCAGAUCACUAUGGGGGAGCCGACUAUAAAUAGGUGUUCCAGUAAGCUUUAAGUAACUCGAGCAGAAGAAUACCUCCGAAAGACUAAAGACCAUCUGACAGAAGAGACUGCAGAAAUCAAACCAGGCCUUAAUUAGGAGAGUAAGACUCUCUUUCCUAUUUCAGCCAUGUGAUGCCAGCAAGAAAAAAAAGGAGGAGGAGAAUGGAGCUUAGGAGUUUGUUUGCUCUGCAAUUACAGAUGAAAUUUAAAGAUAUUCCUUGGCCUAAAAAGGCCUCAUUUCAGAAGAGACC
rnacentral:lncRNA from 1 species